rnacentral:lncRNA from 10 species
GAAGGUGGAAGGGCAAGACAGUAUGAGGUAAGAUUGAAAGGGAAGCUGGCAAUUUUUCCAUCCAUAGAGUGAGAAUCUGAUUACUAUUGGACCAGCUGGAUAGUUGUUUCUCUGUAAGGGAUACUAAAAUACCUCCCCGGUAAUGAAACAUCACUGAAAAUGUGAUGAGAGGGAUAACGUUUGUAAGGAAUACUUUGAUAAACUACAUCAAAAGGAAAAUGGAGAAAUGAACAGCUCUGACAAGUCAAGAGUUUGGAUGUCCUCACUCCCAUCCUCACAACAAGAUAUAAGUGGAAUAAUCUGAAAAUCAAGGACUUUUCUUGGAUCUAUUAGGGACCUGAGAUUGUAGAGCAAAUCACCACCCCGAUCUGCAACGACAGGAGAAUGCAGAGAAUCACAGUGAAAUCAGCUUAUCUGGAGUAGAAGCCACUGAAGCCAUAAACCAGUAGGAACACUAAAAUGAUCAUUUUGACAACUUGCUAAAGGCUGACUAUGAA